UACGUAGGGUGCAAGCAUUGUCCGGAAUUAUUGGGCGUAAAGAGCUCGUAGGCGGUCUGUCGCGUCGGCUGUGAAAUCCCGAGGCUCAACCUCGGGUCUGCAGUCGAUACGGGCAAACUGGAGUACUGCAGGGGGACUGGAAUUCCUGGUGUAGCGGUGAAAUGCGCAGAUAUCAGGAGGAACACCGGUGGCGAAGGCGGGUCUCUGGGCAGUAACUGACGCUGAGGAGCGAAAGCGUGGGGAGCGAACAGG
rnacentral:rRNA from 1 species